GACGAACGCUGGCGGCGUGCCUAAUACAUGCAAGUAGAACGCUGAAGGAGGAGCUUGCUUCUCCGGAUGAGUUGCGAACGGGUGAGUAACGCGUAGGUAACCUGCCUGGUAGCGGGGGAUAACUAUUGGAAACGAUAGCUAAUACCGCAUAAGAGUAGAUGUCGCUUGACAUUUGUUUAAAAGGUGCAACUCCACCACUCCCAGAUGGACUUGCGUUGUAUUAGCUAGUUGGGGAGGUAACGGCUCACCAAGGCAACGAUACAUAGCCGACCUGAGAGGGUGAUCGGCCACACUGGGACUGGGACAAGGCCCAGACUCCUACGGGAGGCAGCAGUAGGGAAUCUUCGGCAAUGGACGGAAGUCUGACCGAGCAACGCCGCGUGAGUGAAGAAGGUUUUCGGAUCGUAAAGCUCUGUUGUAAGAGAAGAACGAGUGUGAGAGUGGAAAGUUCACACUGUGACGGUAUCUUACCAGAAAGGGACGGCUAACUACGUG
rnacentral:rRNA from 1 species